GAACGCUGGCGGCGUGCCUAACACAUGCAAGUCGAACGGAGUUCUUAAGGAAUGCGGCUUCGGCCAAAUGACUUUUGAACUUAGUGGCGGACGGGUGAGUAACGCGUGAGCAACCUGCCUUUCAGAGGGGGAUAACAUUUGGAAACAGAUGCUAAUACCGCAUAAGAUUACAGUACCGCAUGAUACAGUGAUCAAAGGAGCAAUCCGCUGAAAGAUGGGCUCGCGUCCGAUUAGAUAGUUGGUGAGGUAACGGCUCACCAAGUCGACGAUCGGUAGCCGGACUGAGAGGUUGAACGGCCACAUUGGGACUGAGACACGGCCCAGACUCCUACGGGAGGCAGCAGUGGGGAAUAUUGCACAAUGGGCGAAAGCCUGAUGCAGCAACGCCGCGUGAGGGAAGACGGUUUUCGGAUUGUAAACCUCUGUUUUCGGUGACGAACAAAUGACGGUAACCGAGUAGGAAGCCACGGCUAACUACGUGCCAGCAGCCGCGGUAAUACGUAGGUGGCAAGCGUUAUCCGGAAUUACUGGGUGUAAAGGGAGCGCAGGCGGGAUAGCAAGUCAGCUGUGAAAACUAUGGGCUCAACCCAUAAACUGCAGUUGAAACUGUUAUUCUUGAGUGGAGUAGAGGCAAGCGGAAUUCCGAGUGUAGCGGUGAAAUGCGUAGAUAUUCGGAGGAACACCAGUGGCGAAGGCGGCUUGCUGGGCUCUAACUGACGCUGAGGCUCGAAAGUGUGGGGAGCAAACAGGAUUAGAUACCCUGGUAGUCCACACUGUAAACGAUGAUUGCUAGGUGUGGGGGGUCUGACCCCCUCCGUGCCGGAGUUAACGCAAUAAGCAAUCCACCUGGGGAGUACGGCCGCAAGGUUGAAACUCAAAGGA
rnacentral:rRNA from 1 species